rnacentral:tRNA from 1 species
GGGGUUGUAGCUCAGUGGUAGAGCUCUCACCUAGCAUGUGUGAGGCACUGGGUUUAAUUCUCAGCACCUCA